rnacentral:rRNA from 1 species
GAGUUUGAUCCUGGCUCAUAAUGAACGCUGGCGGCGUGCCUAACACAUGCAAGUCGAGCGGUAACAGGUGUAGCAAUACAUGCUGACGAGCGGCGAACGGGUGAGUAAUGCUUCGGAAUCUGCCCAAUGGUGGGGAAUAACCAGCCGAAAGGUUGGCUAAUACCGCAUGAGCCCUACGGGGGAAAGCAGGGGAUCGUAAGACCUUGCGCCGAUGGAUGAGCCGAAGUCGGAUUAGCUAGUUGGUAGGGUAACGGCCUACCAAGGCGACGAUCCGUAGCUGGUCUGAGAGGACGACCAGCCACACUGGGACUGAGACACGGCCCAGACUCCUACGGGAGGCAGCAGUGGGGAAUAUUGGACAAUGGGGGAAACCCUGAUCCAGCGACGCCGCGUGUGUGAAGAAGGCCAGCGGGUUGUAAAGCACUUUUAGUGGGGAUGAAAAGCUCAGGGAUAACACCUCUGAGUCUUGACCUAACCCACAGAAAAAGCACCGGCUAACUCUGUGCCAGCAGCCGCGGUAAUACAGAGGGUGCAAGCGUUAAUCGGAAUUACUGGGCGUAAAGCGUGCGUAGACGGUUAUGUAAGUCGGGUGUGAAAGCCCCGGGCUCAACCUGGGAAUUGCAUUCGAGACUGCAUAGCUAGGGUGCGGAAGAGGGAAGCGGAAUUUCCGGUGUAGCGGUGAAAUGCGUAGAUAUCGGAAGGAACACCAGUGGCGAAAGCGGCUUCCUGGUCCAGCACCGACGUUCAGGCACGAAAGCGUGGGGAGCAAACAGGAUUAGAUACCCUGGUAGUCCACGCCAUAAACGAUGAGAACUACACGUUGAAGGGGUAAGCCCUGCAAUGUCGAACUAACGCGCUAAGUUCUCCGCCUGGGGAGUACGGCCGCAGGUUGAACUCAAAGGAUUGACGGGGACCCGCACACGCGUGGAGCAGGUGUUAAU